rnacentral:ncRNA from 1 species
UCUUAUCAUGAGAGGUGGAGGGACUGGCCCAGUGAAACCCGGCAACCAAUAUAUAUGUAAUAUGUGUAUGAUGGUGCUAAAUCCUGCAGCAAAGCUGAAAGAUAAGG